rnacentral:rRNA from 1 species
AUGAGCUUUGAAUGGGAGGACCUGUUUCCUUUGGUUACAGUUCGUAAAUUGGUUAGGGAUGUCUCCGACCACAAUCCACUCCUCUUGUCCUCGGGAGAGGAAAGACAAAAUAAAUCCCAUCAGCACGAGGUCAGGUUUGAACUUAGUUGGUUGCGUGACGAAAACUUUUAUCCCACUGCCAAGAGGAUAUGGGAGCAACCAGUCCGAGCUGACGAUCCUAUUGAUAUUCUUAAUAUCAAACUGAAACGGCUCAAAAAGUACUUUAAAGGGUGGGGCUCGAAUAUAUUUGGACAUGCCAAAAAAAGAAAAAAAGAAAUCAAGCUGGAGUUGGAAGAGAUUGAGUGUAAAGAAGAGGAAGAACCUCUCGAACCUGAGUUAUAUGAGAGGAAAACAACAUUACAAAUAGAACUCUGCGAGAUCCUCUUUAAGAAAGAGUUGUAUUGGUUACAACAAUCGAAUGAGCGUUGGCUCUUAAAGGGAGAUCGUAACACAGCCUUUUAUCAUAGAGUGGUGAAUGGUAAAAAGAGGAAAAAUAUGAUCCAGUCCCUUACAAAAUGUGGGCUGAUAAUGAGAAGCUAA